rnacentral:lncRNA from 1 species
CCUCUGGGAUCCUCUGCAGAAAACCUUCCCACAGUUCCUGCUGUAACUGGAAUUCAUAGAGAUCCAGGGGCCUGUGCUCCUUCCUCUCCGUGGCUGAAGAAAAGUGGAAUGUCUCACGGCUUUUGAGGCCACUGGAGAAUGUGGAAUUGACAGGUGGAGACCGGGCCACAGAAGGAUAGUACUGACUCGGGGGCCCCGUGGGGCUAGGAACCCCAUCAUAAAGACAGAAGGUAUCUGCAGGGGCUGCAGAAGGGCAGGCAGAUGAGCAGAGGUGUGAAACUGAGGAAGACAGAUAUAAAGAGAUCCCCUGGU